UACGUAGGGUGCGAGCGUUGUCCGGAAUUAUUGGGCGUAAAGAGCUCGUAGGCGGUGUGUCGCGUCGGCCGUGAAAACCUGGGGCUUAACUCUGGGCGUGCGGUCGAUACGGGCAUCACUGGAGUUCGGCAGGGGAGACUGGAAUUCCUGGUGUAGCGGUGAAAUGCGCAGAUAUCAGGAGGAACACCGGUGGCGAAGGCGGGAUCUCUGGGCCGAUACUGACGCUGAGGAGCGAAAGCAUGGGUA
rnacentral:rRNA from 1 species